UACGAAGGGGCUAGCGUUGCUCGGAAUGACUGGGCGUAAAGGGCGCGUAGGCGGUGAUCACAGUCAGGCGGUGAAAUUCCUGGGCUUAACCUGGGGGCUGCGUUUGAUACGUUGGUUGCUAGAGUGGGGAAGAGGGUCGUGGAAUUCCAGUGUAGAGGUGAAAUUCGUAGAUAUUCGCAAGAACACCAGUGGCGAAGGCGGCUCACUGGCCCGGUACUGACGCUGAGGUGCGAAAGCGUGGGGAGC
rnacentral:rRNA from 1 species